rnacentral:piRNA from 1 species
CGACUUUUCGGUAUUCUUCAGGGAU